rnacentral:lncRNA from 1 species
UUAACUAUCUACCACUGAUCACAGCUCAGCUUUUGAGGAGAAGGUUUUGAAAGCUCUAGAACAAUUAGAAGUCAACAUCCAGAAUCUUAAAUCCCACACGUAAUCCAUUGCUAAGCUAGAGACCCAAAUAGGUCAACUAGCAACUGUAUUCAUUUGGAGGGAAAGAUUUACCUCGCCAACCUGAGAGCAACCUAAGAGGGCAAUUCAAAGUUGAGAGCUCCAAUACCCCAGAAAUUUUUUCUGAACAUGCCAAAUCAAUCAUAACUCUUAGAAGUGGAAAGACCAUUGAACACACUAGUAAAACUAAUGAGACCAACCCUAGACCUCUGACCAAAUCCGAAUCGCCCA